rnacentral:lncRNA from 1 species
AGGUGAAUGUUAUGUGCAAAUUCUAUUUGUAAAUUUUCUGUAAGGAUGGAAUUAAUUUCAUAAUAAAAAGUUUUAAAAACCCAUUCUUCUGGAAAUUUGAUAAAGUGCUCUCACACUUAUCCUGAGGCUGUAAAAGGUGCCCCCCUAUGUAGGCUCCUCUGUUACAAUGAAGUGUUUUUGUGUUUUAGAAAUAAUUAUUUUGGACAAAGUUCAGGGUAGGCAUUUAUUACAACACAUUCUGCUUGGUACCCUUUUGCUGACUAUCAUUUGUUAUCACAUUUCCCCAAUCAUCUUUAAAAACAAUUGUAGAAAUACCCAAGUUGUUUAGAGAUGCUGUAGUCAGUGGAUUACUGUGUGGAAGGAUCUGAAGAUUAGGAAUAGAUGCCACUACCACUGACACCAAAAGUGAAUAAAUAGGAGGUAUCUGGGGUUGUGUUCCAUCAUGGAUUUUACAUAUAUGUAGAAAAAUGUGGCCAUGUUUCCAGGAUGUAAAAUAUAAAUUACACAAUGUUCCAAAUAUUUGUACUUUUUCAUGCAAACUGUACGUUAAGUGGGUUUCAGCUAUAAGAGAAGAAAUCUCUGGAAAGUGGGACACAAAAUAAACUUUCUGUUCUAUUUUGUAAGUAAUAGCAGGUCACUUGUCAUCCAUUUGUGUUUAGAACCCCAUAAUAGCCUUUCUAAAUAAAAAUCUAUAAUACCCCGUCUGUAUGUGAAAAACCAUUAUUUAUACUUACACAGAGGAGGUUUAUGCCUGCUAUUGCAAAUACCACUACCAAACUAAACUUACUGAGGUCUGUGGCUCAGUUACUUUUCAAGAAAAAUUUCCAUGUAGAAUAGUGCCUGAUGAUAAAAUUAAUAUUGAAUGUAUGAAUGAACACUGGGACUGUAUAAGAUCAAUUUCAACAUUAAGUGUAAAGUUCACCACGCCAGAGCCACAGCAACGCAGGAUCCGAGCCGAGUCUGCAACCUAUACCACAGCUCACGGCAACGCUGGAUCGUUAACCCACUAAGCAAGGGCAGGGACCGAACCUGCAACCUCAUGGUUCCUAGUCGGAUUUGUUAACCACUGCGCCACGACGGGAACUCCUAUUUUGUUUCUUUAAUAGAAUCUCAUGGUGUAGGGGCUUAGCAUCUAAUUGAUUGCAUUAUUCUAGGUAUAGAAAUACUGAAACUCCCAUAGUUCUUCCUUGUGAAAAGAUUUUUUUCAAAAUAUUUCCUUUCUGUUUUGAUAAGAGAACAUUGGAUUUUUGCUUUAAAGAGAAACUUGAUUUUUUUUUUAUUUUUAUUUUUUUGCUUGAACUGUGACAAUCAAAUGAGCAGUAGUUUUUGAUGAAUAACACCUGUUCUUUUUUAAACUGCAAAAUUCUUAAGAAGGUAUAAUAGCUAAAUUGUCUUAUUUGUAGACAUUGUGUUUUCUUUCUUUUUUAACUUUUAUAGUGCCUUUUUUUUUUUUUUUUUUUUUUUUUUAAAUAGCAUUGUCCUUCUCAGCCUUAGCAUCUAACUUUUACAUUAGCCAAAUUCUAAAAGAGGUCUACUUUUAAGAGGAAAUUUUGCUUGGAAGAUCUGAGAUUCCUUAUCAUAAUUUAAAAAGAUCUUUCCAUUUUUAUUAGAUAGCUUAACUCGGAUAGCUAACUCUGGUUUAUUUUUCUCAUAAAUUGACUUAAAAAAAUAAUCUACAUUCUCUACCUUAACUGAACCAAUGGCACUGUAGUUUUAAGUAAAGUGCAAGGGAGUAAAAGUGUAGAGUCUGGCCUUUGUUGUUUCUGCAGUGGACUCAGCCUUCCCUUCACCCCUGUACCUGUAUACCCCCACCCCCAUAUUAUGUAUACUUAACUGUGGUCAAGAAGAGGCCAAUUGUAUAACUUUGCUCUUAAAACCAUGUAGAAUUGGCUGAAGCUGCGAUGCCAAUAUGUGGCUUACAUGCAUCCCUUUCCCUAUUCUCAUUGCAGACAUCAGCUCAAGGCAUGCCUUCUUGCGUAGCCAGAAGGCGGUCAAUUUUAGGGAGCCGUUACUGGUCAACCAGAGUUAUCUUGUGAGAAAAUCUCGCUGUUCUCAUUGGAAUAGAGAGUUUGGGAUGAGUACUAAAAGUUCUUUAUCUUUUUCCUUCAAGUCUAGGAUUUGAUAUGGCCCAAAUUAAGACAUCUUGCUUAUUAUCUUAGAUUGGUAAGUGUGUUAGCAUUUUAGUAACUUUCUGAGUAUACUUAAACACACUUGAAUUUAGCACAACCAAAUUGAGUUCUGUCACCAUAAACCUUUUUAUGAAAUAUUCUGUUAGGAAACGUUAGAUGCCACUACAGUUCAUUUUUGGACAACUUUUCUGUAAAUUUACACUCAAAAAGUUAUCCUUCAUUUGGGAUGGGGAAUAGGCUGUGUCUUGUGAUCUAACUUAAUUCAUUGUUAAGUUUGAUGUGUUAGUCAAGGUUUUCCAGAGAAACAUAACUUCUAAGCUGUGUGUGUGUGUACUUGUUUGUGUAUGUGUGUGAGAGGGAGAUGUUUAAGGAAUUGACUCACAUAAUUGUGGAGCUGACAAGUCCAAAAUCUGCAGGUUAGGCCAACAAGCAAGAGCUGAUGUUGCGUUUUAAUUCCAAAGACAGUCUUCUGGCAGAAUUCGCUUUUCGAUCAGGCUUUUUGAAAUUAAAGUCUACAAAUAGUUUGUUGAGAUCUACUGCCAUUAAGCCCUGAAAUCUAUUUUACUCAGUCGGUUGAUUUAAAUCUUUUCUUUUUAGGGCCCCACCUGCAACACAUGGAAGUUCCUAGGCUAGGGGUUGAAUUAGAGCUGCAGCUGCUGGCCUACACCACAGCAACUCCAGAUCUGAGCUGCGUCUUCGACCUACACUGCAGCUCAUGGCAGUACUGGAUCCUUAACCCACCAAGGAGGGGCAGAGGUCCAACCCUCAUCCUCAUGGAUUUGUCGGUUUCAUUACCACUGAGCCUCAAUGGGAACGUCUGUUAAUUUAAAUAUUAAUCCUCACUUUAAAAAAAUACUAUUCAGAAACAUCUAGAAUAAGGUUUAACCAAAUGUCUGGGUCCUGUGGCCUAGCCAACUUCACACAGUUGAGAGAGACUGACUCAUUCAGUGAUGAUUGAGUACCUAAUAUGAACCAGGCUCUAUGCUAGAUAUUGGAGGACCUCAGCAGAUUUAAAAAGAGAAAAAUAUAGUCAACAAUUUUUUUUUCUUGUCAACUAAUCUUAGAAAUAGAAAUUAGUCAUGCUUAUACUAAGUAUGGAAGGGAAACUUUCUUAAAAAAUAUGUAAUGGCAGAUAUAUAUUCAGUGUCCAAUAAUUUUAUAUUUAAUUUUAAAAUAAAUUUAGAAUUACACUGAAUUAAAAAUUUAUGUUUGGUUUUAGAAUGACUUUAUUCUUGAGUGUGUUAUUUUAGAAAUACUCUUUUAAGCUUAACAAAAUGCAAAUCUCUUUAGGAGUAACUUGUGUUGAGAGAGAAAAACGCUAUUUCAUCCAGACCUCUGCUCUGUUUUCUCAACGAUGAAGAGCACUGCUUUUUUCAUAUCACAGGAGAGCCCGGUUUCAGCCUAAGUAGACAUUUACCUCUUCUGUUGAAAUAUAUCCUCUGGCCUUGUCUACCUAAAUUAGAGUGAGAUUUAACAUGCUGAGGGAAGGGGACUCUUCAGAAAGGCAUGUCAAACCUUUUCCUCUUUUAUUUCCUUUUGAAUUAUUAGCAGAAAUGGUGAAAAUUUUGUUAGGAAAAAGGGAAACUAAGGAUUUGCCAUAUGGAAUGAAAUGAAUUAGUAUAUGAUAAUACUUGGCAUGAAGUUUAAAUCAUUGUGGGGCCAAAAAUUGAUGACUACUUACACAUUCUUGUGGGGUUUAAUUCUCAAAUUAGUUAAUAUGUUAGCUAAAAAUGAUUAAGAUUAAAUUUUCCACUGCUAAGGUAAAGGUCUGAAUUCUGUAUAGGGUGCAGUAAUUCUGUUAAGAGUUGUGCCUGUGAAGAGCAUGUGGGGCUCCUUUUGAUGGGUGAUCUGGGGCCGGAUUGGCUGGAGGUGGGCCUCUGAAUGCCGGCUGUCCUGCCUCAGUUCUCUUUAGCACCCGUCUAUUAUUUUGUUUUUGUUCCCAGGCAAAUGACUAUAAAAUUCCCCGUUUAAAACAAAACAAACUUUUAAAUAUAUGUUUGUGUAGGUCAGAAAUCCAGUAUGGGUCUCCCCAGACUGAGACAAGGUGUGAGAAAAGUCAGUUUCCUGUUCUUUUAGUCUGUUGGCAAAAUUAAAUUCUCGGGGGUUAUAGGACGUAGGUCUCUGUUUUCUUGUCUGUAAACUGCGAGCCCAUUCCACCUUCUUUGGGAGCUGCAUCUUGGCUCAUGGACCCCUACUUCCAAUUUUUGAAAUUGGAACUGCCAGCAACAGCAGUUCGAAUCCUUCUCAUUGGCACCUCUCUUGAUUCUCCUUCUCUCAUUGCAUCUUUUCUUCUGAUUCAUGUGAUUAGGUUCAGCUCAGGAUAAUCUAGGAUAAUCUCACCAGCUCGAGGUCCAUAACUUUAAUCGCAUUUUCAAAGUCCCCUUUGCUGUGUUAGGCAAAAGAUUCCAGGGAUUAAGACGUGGGCAUAUUUGGGGGCUGUUGGUGCAUUAUUCAGCCUUCCACACCUCCUUUUCACUCCUCAGAAUGUCCCAGUUUCACCAUCCAAUCUGAGUAGCCAGUUGAAGUAUUUAAAAUAGGAAUAAAAACUAAAACUCAGGUUUCUCCCUCCCUUUUAAAUUUAUGUUUCAGUUCUUUCCCUUUUUGUUUCCUCUCCUGCUUCCCUUUCAUACCUUUGCAAAGGUCAUGAAUCGUUUUCCUGGCUCACUUGUUAGAAGUCAGUGAGUGGGAAGUGUCUGUCAGUCCUCUUCUGUCCAUUAUUUAUGGAUAAAGGAGCCACAUGUUUUAUGGUGUGGUGGCUUCCAUCACUCUUUUAGUCUUUUGCUUUUGAAGCCUGUGACUCUCAUGUUCCUCAGUGUUUAGUGACAAGGUAGCCAGUGAAUCCUGAGGGUGUGGCAUCUAAAUUUGUGCUGCUGCUUGUGCUUGAGCCUGUCCUUAGACCGUUACAUGGGAAGAGGAGGAAGAGGAGGAAUUAAGACCGGCUUUUUUCUCCCUCUGCAUUUAGGCUCUAUUUUGUACCAAAAAGAUAGCUGGGCAUUACAUUUAUUUAAAUAGCUGCUGAUUUUUUUCAGAGGGCAUGGUUUUAUAUUCUAGAGACAAUUUUACUAAUACAACUGCAUUUUUAUCAAGUUAAGUACUUGAAUGUUUUUAUUUCACAUUUUGAAAUUUUUUAUUUAUUAGAUUAAAUUACAUUAAUUGAAGAAAACAGUUGUGUGUCUUACGUGUAUCUAAAGACCAAAUUGCCGUUUCUAUCUACUCUUCAACUUAAAUUUGUAGUUUGGAACAUUGCCAACAGCAGAAAAUAUAAUUUAUAUUCAAAUGGAUUAAUUUGUUCCUUGGACAAUUUAAAAAAAGACUAAUUUAUGAUUUUUAAUGCUGUAUCUUAUUUUAAUAAGCUAAGUAGAUAUUUGAUACUUGCUAAUUUAUAUAUACUUGAGUCCUUAAUUUAAUCGUGAAUCCAUCAGAGUUUAGAUUUAGUUAAGUAAUGCAUAAGAUCUAAAACCAGUGCUACAUACUUCUAAAGUUCAUUUCUUUUUUUUCCCAUUCACAAUGCCAGUUUUACACUCCAUUUGCUGUCAGUGGAAAUGCAGGCGGCAGACACAGACAUAUUUAUCAUCACUGAGUUCACUGGAUCAUACAGGAAAAGUACAUUAAGAUGCCAUACAGAAAGUCUAACACACAUAAACAACCACUUAGCAUUUUUAAGAACAUAUCUGACUUAUUGAUCAGCUUAAAUAUCUUUCAUUCGAGCGUGUUACCCACGUGGAGCGCAUGCAUUCACGUACUUAUCUAAGCAAGAGCUGCUUGUGCUGAUGAAUGAGCACAUCUUCCCUUUAUGUAUCACCACGGAGAUCAAACCUUAGAAGGCUUUCCCCCUUCCAUCGGAAUCCCUAAAUCUUGUCACAAUUAAAUUAUUCUCGGGGUUCUUUAGAUAAGGUGCACUCCGGAAGAUAGCUGUAGAACACCUGAUUUUACACUGACAUUUGUGUUUGGUGUUCUGAGCCUCUUUUCCUGAAAUUUGUGUUGCUGUUUGUUGUUCUAGGCCCAGUGGCAGAUGCGGUGGGGAAUGGGGACUCUUCUUAAUUUCUCUUUUACUUAUGAACUCUUACGUUCUUCUAUAAAUGCUACCCUAGUAAAUUAGCCUCACCUCAGAUUGUGUGUAUGUUUAAAAAAUAUGUGCAAUAACUGUUAGAUUUUUUUUUUCUAAUUGGAGUAUAUUAUCAAAAUUAGGAAAUAGCAAAAUAUAUUACCUAGUUUACAUGGAUACCAACCUAAACCUUAGAAAACAGUAAUAAGAAAUAAUACAGAUAUGAAAAAAAUAGGGGGAGUAAUUUAUUUAAAGGAUAAAGAACAGAUGAGUAUGUUUUCAUUUUAGGCCUUUAUGGGCAUUUUAUGUGCGUUCUAGAUUUGAGACAUUUUAAGAGAAAAAUGUCCUAGCCUUUUCUUUUAGUGAAACAAUACAACUGGAAGUUAUGUGUUUAA